rnacentral:tRNA from 1 species
GGGCCGGUUAGCUCAAUCAGUUAGAGUGUGAUAACACCAAGGUCACGGGUUCGAUCCCCGUUUGGUCCC